rnacentral:rRNA from 1 species
UGCAGAAUCUUGUGAACCAUCGAGUCUUUGAAUGCAAGUUACGCCCGAGGMCUCCCAGCCGAGGGCACGCCUGCCUGGGCAUCACGC